AGAGCGAACGCUGGCGGCAGGCUUAACACAUGCAAGUCGAACGAGAAGCUACCUUCGGGUAGUGGAAAGUGGCAGACGGGUGAGUAACGCGUGGGAAUCUACCUAGUGGUACGGAAUAACUCAGGGAAACUUGGGCUAAUACCGUAUGUGCCCGUAAGGGGAAAGAUUUAUCGCCAUUAGAUGAGCCCGCGUCUGAUUAGCUAGUUGGUGGGGUAAAGGCCUACCAAGGCGACGAUCAGUAGCUGGUCUGAGAGGAUGAUCAGCCACACUGGGACUGAGACACGGCCCAGACUCCUACGGGAGGCAGCAGUGGGGAAUAUUGGACAAUGGGCGAAAGCCUGAUCCAGCAACGCCGCGUGAGGGAUGACGGCCUUCGGGUUGUAAACCUCUUUCAGCGCAGACGAAGCGAAAGUGACGGUAUGCGCAGAAGAAGCGACCGGCCAACUACGUGCCAGCAGCCGC
rnacentral:rRNA from 1 species